GAUGAAGAACGCAGCGAAAUGCGAUAAGUAAUGCGAAUUGCAGAAUUCAGUGAAUCAUCGAAUCUUUGAACGCACAUUGCGCCCGCCAGUAUUCUGGCGGGCAUGCCUGUCCGAGCGUCAUUUCAACCCUCGAACCCCUCCGGGGGGUCGGCGUUGGGGACCUCGGGAGCCCCUAAGACGGGAUCCCGGCCCCGAAAUACAGUGGCGGUCUCGCCGCAGCCUCUCCUGCGCAGUAGUUUGCACAACUCGCACCGGGAGCGCGGCGCGUCCACGUCCGUAAAACACCCAACUUCUGAAAUGUUGACCUCGGAUCAGGUAGGAAUACCCGCUGAACUUAAGCAUAUCAAUAAGCGGAGGA
rnacentral:misc_RNA from 1 species